GGAUCAUUGUCGAAAUCGAACGGAAGAACGACCCGCGAAUCGUCAUUGCGUAGUAGACAGAGCCCGUGAGCACCUAACGCUCACGGGCCUCGCGUCGCGUCGGCGCGGGUGUACUCGAGACCCGCGUCGUACCGGCGGACAAACAACGUCAGCACGGAUCGUGCCAAGGAGCUGCAUGGAGAGAAUCGUCGUCCCCCUAGUCCUCGACGCGGGACGGGGGAUGUACGCAAUCCAAAAGUCUAAACGACUCUCGGCAACGGAUAUCUCGGCUCUUGCAUCGAUGAAGAACGUAGCGAAAUGCGAUACUUGGUGUGAAUUGCAGAAUCCCGUGAACCAUCAAUUCUUUGAACGCAAGUUGCGCCCGAAGCCAUUCGGCCGAGGGCACGCCUGCCUGGGCGUCGUGAAUCCCCUUGCCCCUAGGCACCCGCACGAGCAUCGGCGGGGACAUAUCCUCGGGCGCAGAAUAUGGUCUCCCGUGGGAUCGGCAUGCACGGCAUGACGAGGUGCGGUUGGCCGAAAAUCGAGCAUGGCGGUGACGGGCACCACGGCGUUCGGUGGAUCGAAUGAGAUUGGCUGCGUCGUGGGCUCGGCAUGCGGCGGGCUCCGGACUUUGAAUAUCCCCGAGUGCGAUCCCAGGUCAGGCGGGGCUACCCGCUGAGUUUAAGCAUAUCAAUAAGCGGAGGAAAAGAAACUAACGAGGAUUCCCUUAGUAGCGGC
rnacentral:rRNA from 1 species